rnacentral:lncRNA from 1 species
UGACCCCCUUGGAUGGUCUUGUAGUUCUACUUGGACAUCGUAUCUCGACAUAUUGGUCUCGUAGUUCUAUGAGGUGAAGCAGAAGAUAGGGUGGUGAUCAUCAAGCGGUGUCGUAAUCCUAUAAAGAGUAGGGAGAGGGAGGUAGCAAAUGGACCUACAUGCAAGUAUGGGUGCUUAGGCCAGUGUGGUGAGAUACGAUGUCCAAACGACCCUACAAGACUAUCACGGGAUUCAUUUGAACAUUAUUAGAUAUACUUGAAGGGCUUUAAGAUGGUUAUUUUAGUCAACCCUUGAUAUGUUAGGAGGUUAUGUAGACAUUUUAAUAUGCCAUGUUAGUGUGAAAUCACCUUUAAAACCGUUUGAGGGGGUUAUUUAGACGGUUUUCAAUAGUUUAAGGGCCAAAAUAUCUAGUUUUAUAUGUGAGAGGGUGUAAUAGACAACCACCAAUAGUUUAAGAGUUAAGUAGACUUUUUUCUUUCCUCAAAUCUAUAGAAAUAUAUCCAACAUCAAAUAAAUAUUGUGCAUUUUAAUAAUGUCCACAAGAUAUUAUCGUAAAAUAUAAAGUUGAACAGUGUCCACUGGCAAAUGUCACCCUUUUGAUGGAUAUGGAUGGAUGGAUGGAUGGAUGGAAUGGUUCAUUUCAUUUAGUUGGCCUACUGUUUGUUUUUAGUUAAUUAACGAACUCUAAAAGCUCGUCGAGUCAUGAUCGAGAUCGGUGUGUGGAUUGGUGAUGGAUGGAUGCAUACAUAAUGAUAUAAUAUAUAGCUUUGUCGAAUCUCGCUUGAUAUGCAUGCACCUACGCACGCACGUCACGCCAGGUUUGCAACUAAAAAGGUGUAUAAAUAUGCAUGAUUUGUUCGUUGCUUUGCCGCUGUCCUCCUUCUCGUGCACUCAUGACUCAUUCCAAAAAAAAAAAAUGUGUUCUCCAUCUAUCUAUGCAUCCGCCAGGGUGCACGCCUGUCCACCAGUUCUUCGAGCUAUAUCUUUGUUGUAUUUUAAUUUUCAGUUAAAUCAAAUUUUAGUUAAGUUUUAGUUUGUGCGUUGCUGCUCCAGGUUUAAGGUACUUCUUUUAAUAUAUAUGACGUUGAACAUAGCUGCACAUAGACGGAGAAGCAACGGCAUUAUAUUGUGCUCCGGUUUGGUACAUCUUAGAGUUGCUCUUAGCUGUCUAAUACUCUAUUUAUUCUAAAUAUUAUAAGAUGUUUUUGUUUUUUGAGAUUUAUAGUUUUUGCUAUAAAUAUCUACAAAACCCAAAAACAUCUUGUAAUUUAAGUGCUGAUUGGGUCCAUUAGCUACUAAUAGUUAGCUAGCUAAUAUUAGUUGCUAUUAGCUAGCUUGGUUUAACUUGUGAAAUAGUUGUUAGUUGGCGCUAUAUAUAAGCUAACAAUCAGUAGCUAAACCUGUUUGGAUUCAAAGAGCUAAUUAUUUGCAGCUAAUUACUAGCUCUAUGAAUACAAACUAGGCUCUAGAACAGAGGUUGCUAACUAUUAAUUAGCUAGCUAUUUUUUAGUAGCGACCACGCGCCGCCGCCGCGCUAUGGAGAACCCCGUGAUCUGCGACAGGCAUCGUCGCCGAGAGAGAGAUGUCACGGGGAAGGAGAAGGGUGAAAAGCUGGAUUAGGAUUGGA